UACGGAGGGGGCUAGCGUUGUUCGGAAUUACUGGGCGUAAAGCGCACGUAGGCGGCUUUGCAAGUUAGAGGUGAAAGCCCGGGGCUUAACCCCGGAAUUGCCUUUAAAACUGCAUCGCUAGAAUUGUGGAGAGGUGAGUGGAAUUCCGAGUGUAGAGGUGAAAUUCGUAGAUAUUCGGAAGAACACCAGUGGCGAAAGCGACUCACUGGACACAUAUUGACGCUGAGGUGCGAAAGCGUGGGGAGCAAACAGG
rnacentral:rRNA from 1 species